AUUGAACGCUGGCGGCAUGCCUUACACAUGCAAGUCGAACGGUAACAGGUCUUCGGAUGCUGACGAGUGGCGAACGGGUGAGUAAUACAUCGGAACGUGCCCGAUCGUGGGGGAUAACGGAGCGAAAGCUUUGCUAAUACCGCAUACGAUCUACGGAUGAAAGCAGGGGACCGCAAGGCCUUGCGCGAACGGAGCGGCCGAUGGCAGAUUAGGUAGUUGGUGGGAUAAAAGCUUACCAAGCCGACGAUCUGUAGCUGGUCUGAGAGGACGACCAGCCACACUGGGACUGAGACACGGCCCAGACUCCUACGGGAGGCAGCAGUGGGGAAUUUUGGACAAUGGGCGCAAGCCUGAUCCAGCAAUGCCGCGUGCAGGAUGAAGGCCUUCGGGUUGUAAACUGCUUUUGUACGGAACGAAAAGGCUCUGGUUAAUACCUGGGGCUCAUGACGGUACCGUAAGAAUAAGCACCGGCUAACUACGUGCCAGCCGCCGCCGUAACAC
rnacentral:rRNA from 1 species